UAGAAGUAGAUAUUUUUAAACAGAAAUAUUUGGUUCAAUUGUUGUUGUGAAAAUAAAUCCUUCUUUUAUUGCCAUCCUCAUAUAUAAGCCAGUAUUUUAAUGGUAAAAACUGUGCUGAGGAAAACACAUACGUAUAUUUACCGUAGCAUAUACUUUCAAACAAGUAUGUCAGCUUUUUAAUGGUCUGGGCCAUGAUGCCGAACUUGGGGAGAAAAGAAACAGAGCAACUUGCCCUUCAUCUGGUAAAUCCAGGCAGCAGGGCGUUAGGAAGCCGGAGCCGCUGACUUCAGGGGGCGGUUGUGGAGGGAACCGAAGCUGCCCCAGGACUCAUUACCCCCAGCGUGUGUGUCAGGCCCAGGAGGAGUUGAGCUUGGCCAUCUCCUCUAGCCCUGACAUGUUCAAGUCUAGGCGUUAGGAUCUGAGGGUGAGGUUGGAAGGCUCCCACAUCAACAGAAGCUGGGAUGCUAUCAGCAACUCAGAACCGAAACCCCUGCAAGUGUCAGGCUCUUCCGGUGAUUUGUUGCACAUUAAGUUUGUCCGGCAAGGUGUUCACCUGGCCCUGGAGAAGGACAUGAAAGGUGGACAUCUGCGGCCAUCAACGCCACCCCCUUGUGAUCCCCCUUUCUUCUCCCUCCUGUGAUGCCCCACUGUGAGGAGCAUCCUUCCCAUCCACAGUGAAACAGAUCUCCAGAUUGCCCAGGAAGCUGUUGGAAGGAUUGCACAUUUGCUUCUCCCUUUAUUGUUUACUCCUUCUGGAAGAAAGAGCCUGUGUUUUUAGCUUUUAUUUUAUUUUAUUUCUCUUAUUUCCUGGAAUCAAGCAUUGAGCUUAGUAGGUGCUCAGUACAGCACUGAUGACUAAGCAAAAAUAAUCCAGGCAAGAAAAUAACUAUCACCACCGCCCACCCCCUCUAGCAAUUUCGGCAGAUUCUGACAUAAGUAGUGUGAAGUUGGAUCCCCCAGGCAAUAACCUAGAAGCCCGUCCAACGAGCUGCCCUCAUCUCCAAUUCCAUGGGGUUAGGAAAUGCGUUCCUCCUCCGGGCUGAUUUCCAUUCCACAGGGGCCCAGUGCCCUGGUCUUGGUGAGCCCUCAGCGACCCACAGGCUAAUACUUUCUCUUCCUGGUUCCUUUUACUGUGUUCCUGCUUUCAAAAAUCUAAGCAAAGUGUGUGCAUUAGAAACCCUUCAUUCUCUUUCAUCAAAGGAACCUGGCGGUUUCUGCAUUUGUUUAAAACAAAAAAGUAAAUCAUGAACUUUUACUUGACUACAUAGAUCAAAGAUUCUCUUGAAAGUCCAACUGAUCUCAAGUUAUUCUUAAUUAUUUAUAUUUCUAGAUCUGAAUAAAAGGCUGCAAAACACACCCCAAAAGUUUUCUGUUUACAUUAUCAACCCUCAGCACCAAGGCAGCCAUGAAGUGCUUUUUGUUCUUUUCUCCCUUAAUGGCCAUAUGACCAGGAAGGUGGUCUUAACAUGCCAUCGAUCAUAUCUGAGUGGCAAAUGCAGCGCUGGCCCGGCCAGCCCAGAGCGUAUCACUGUGAGCCGCAGUGACACACAUUCAUUUCCGUUGGAGGCAGCCCUAGGGAGUCCGGCGGCCCUGCAGUUGUAUUUCAUCUCUUUGAACUGUGUGGCCUCCCCUAUAAUUCAGGAAAUGAGUUUACUCUAUCUGUGACAAGCAUCAUGUUCACACAGUUUUGGGAGCGGCCAGCGUGGUGCAGGGCUGUAUGGGAAUGGAGGUGGCAGGCGUUUGCCAACCCUGGGGAGUACACCGACGGUACUUCCUCUCCCACUGCCGAGUGCUCCACUUGACUGUGACUCUCAGCACACCUGUUGCCUGAGAAAGUGUGCUUUAUCCCCAUGUGCUGGAAAUCUCUGGCUGUAAUCUAACAUGAUAUGAGUGAGUCAGUUUCUUAGACAGCGUGCUUCUUGAAACAGCAAGGCCUCUCAGUUGAUCACCCCUCAGCGCCCCUGAAGCUGUAGAGUUGAUGCGUCUUUUGACCAUGCCUUUUUUUUUUUUUUUUUUUUGGUGGUAAACUUUGGCCCGUCUUUUGGUUAUUAUUAAACUAGCAUUCAUUUGGUGUGCAUAGUCUCUGCUGGACCAGGUUAAAACAAGCGCAGAUUGUUACGGGAAGAGGGCUCUGGUCAGCGCGGAGUGUGCAUACACUCGGAUCAAGGAAAGGAAUGCCAGAGCCAGCCCAGCAUCAAAAUACACUGCAAGAUGGUGAUGGGUGUGCCUGGUGCCGGGCAGAGAUGUUUCCAAGGUCCCAGUGGAACUUUUCCCCUACAGCCUUUUCACUGGGACACCAGCUUUCUGUGGAUACUCCUGAAAGCCUGGGCUAAGUUCUUCCACCAGGAAGUGUUCAAGACUGCAGUUCACAAGCAAAGUCCUUGGCACAUAGGCCAAAUGAAUGUGAUUGAAUGAAUGUUUUCCUUCUAAAUAAAACACUUUCAUUUUGCUAAUGGA